rnacentral:lncRNA from 12 species
GCCCAGGGCCUGGCACACAGCUGGCUUUCACCUAAAUGGAAUAGGAGAGCUGGGGAAGGUGGGGCAAGGCAAGCCUGGGGCAGGCAGGCGUGACAAACAGCCUUCCUACAAAGGGAGUGGAGGACUUUCGACUGGAAUGGCUUUGAGAGGAUAAUGUGGGUGCAUUUGGAAAGAAGUGGUGACUGUAUUUACUCACCAUCCCAAGCUGGCACUUGUUUUUGGGGAGGGUGGAAGGUAUUCCCCUUUCUGCUGGCACUGUUAACAUGAAAAAGCCUGAGCUUGUGGGUGAGCUCCACUUGUGGGUGUGGGAGGAUAUAAAUUGGGGGAAAUGGUGAGUUACUUCUUAGUUAGCUGUGGGAAGCUGAGGAAAAUGAGUGUCUGUUUGUUCACUGGGAUACCCCUGGAGGAGUGGGGAGUGCCUCUGGAGGGGAACUGCCAUGGGCAGCACAGUCUGACAGCUGCUUCUGGCUGUUUGCAUGAGAGCUGAGUGAAUCUCUGAGGUGAAGCAGAACUGCAGAUCUGGAACACAAUGGGAUCAGGCCACCAGGACGCUUCGGGCAAUGUUUUUAGCUGUGAAAAGCAAAGAAGAGUUUUU